GAAAACACAUCAACUCUACCUAGAGGAAAGGAAUACAAGCUACACUUGUCAAUGAAGAACUCACUUGUCCUAGCUUUCUUUGCACUUUGUUUGCUCAUGAUCUCCAAAACAGUAGUGGUAAGUAGGCAACUUGAGGAUAAACCACUGCCAUUCUCUCUCCAAGCGACUGACAAAGGGAAUGAAUACAUUAACAUUGACGGAAUUGCCUCUAGUUCCAAUGUUGUUGGUAAAACAGGAAACGAGGAGAGAAAGCUAGGAGAAACCAAAGCAAUUGGUGAUCUAUCAAUUGACAAAAACAGUUCCAAUGAUGCAGACAAUUUGGCCACACAAAUGAACACUCACAU